GACGAACGCUGGCGGCGUGCCUAAUACAUGCAAGUCGAACGCAUUUUCUUUCACCGUAGCUUGCUACACCGAAAGAAAAUGAGUGGCGAACGGGUGAGUAACACGUGGGUAACCUGCCCAUCAGCGGGGGAUAACACUUGGAAACAGGUGCUAAUACCGCAUAAUUCCAUUUACCGCAUGGUAGAUGGAUGAAAGGCGCUUUUGCGUCACUGAUGGAUGGACCCGCGGUGCAUUAGCUAGUUGGUGGGGUAACGGCCUACCAAGGCUGCGAUGCAUAGCCGACCUGAGAGGGUGAUCGGCCACACUGGGACUGAGACACGGCCCAGACUCCUACGGGAGGCAGCAGUAGGGAAUCUUCGGCAAUGGACACAAGUCUGACCGAGCAACGCCGCGUGAGUGAAGAAGGUUGUCGGAUCGUAAAACUCUGUUGUUAGAGAAGAACAAGGAUGAGAGUGGAAAGUUCAUCCCUUGACGGUAUCUAACCAGAAAGCCACGGCUAACUACGUG
rnacentral:rRNA from 1 species